GCCCAUGCAGUAUAAUCUUAUAUAUAAUAAUUAAUAUAAACAAAUAACUAAAUUCAAUAAAUUUACAAGUACAGAAAUGGAAAAAACAAUAAAUAAAAGUAAAUUUUAAUAAAUGUACCUUGUGCAUUAUGGUUUUACAAGAAAACAAUUGAAAAUAUAAAUCCCGAAUUCUAAAUGAGAUGUUAAAUUGCUGUUAAGAACCCACUAAUAACUGUAAAAAAAGCUUUAAAAGACAAUCUAACAGAGGCUACAUACCAUCCGCAUAAGAAUAUAGCUGGUUUUCAACAAACAUUAUACAUUAAAACAUAUAAUUAUAUUAUAGUGUAAUAUUAUUGAGGAUAAGCCCAAUAAUAAGUGCAAUUAAUUUAACACCGUUUAUAAAUAUAUAGGCCUAAGAUCAGCCAAACAAAAUACUUUACCGUAACAUAAGUAGAUAUAAUAUAUUAUAUAUUAAUGCCUAAAAAAGUUGAAAUACUGGAAAACUUAAUUCCCUAUCUUUACUAUGUAAAAAUAAGUAUUAUUACAUAAUAAAACAAAAAUCUAAUAAAGUACAACUAUAUAAAUAACAAUAAUUAAUUAAGGAACUCGGCAAACUAUUACUUCGACUGUUUAACAAAAACAUUGUCUUAUGAAUAAAAUAUUAGAUAAUACCUGCCCAGUGACAACAUGUUCAACGGCCGCGGUAUACUAACCGUGCAAAGGUAGCAUAAUCACUUGCCUAUUAAUUGUAGGCUAGAAUGAAAGGGUUAACGAAAUAAAGACUGUCUCAAUUAAUUACCUAAAAAUUACUCUCUAUCUGAAGAAAGGUAGAUAAACUCGAAGGACAAGAAGACCCUAUAGAGCUUAAUUUUAAUUAUAGAACCAAACUAUAAGAAUAUUCGGUUGGGGCGACCCAGGGCUAAAUAAUCACCCAUUAACUAAAAGAUAAAUAAAUCUAACAAAUGACCCUAUAAAGAUCAUAAGAACAAGCUACCUUAGGGAUAACAGGCUAAUCCCACUUAAGAGUCCUUAUCAACAGUGGGGGUUGGCACCUCGAUGUUGGCUUAGGGUAUCUAUAUAGCGCAAAAGUUAUAUAAAGAUGGUUUGUUCAACCAAUAAUUCCCUACAUGAGCUGAGUUCAGACCGGCGUAAGCCAGGUUAGCUUCUAUCCUCGACCACUAAAUUUCUGCUCCUAGUACGAAAGGACCGGAGCAGAGUAAUUACUUAUUAAAAAGAAUACAUAUAAAUAAAUAUAAAAUAAAAAUAACUAUAAACUAUA
rnacentral:rRNA from 1 species